rnacentral:rRNA from 1 species
UACGGGGGGGGUAAGCGUUGUUCGGAAUUACUGGGCGUAAAGGGCUCGUAGGCGGCCAACUAAGUCGGACGUGAAAUCCCUCAGCUUAACUGGGGAACUGCAUCCGAUACUGGAUGGCUUGAAUCCGGGAGAGGGAUGCAGAACUCCUGGUGUAGCGGUGGAAUGCGCAGAUAUCAGGAGGAACACCGGUGGCGAAGGCGGAUCUCUGGGCCAUUACUGACGCUGAGGAGCGAAAGCGUGGGGAGCGAACAGG